rnacentral:rRNA from 1 species
GAUGAACGCUGGCGGCGUGCCUAAUACAUGCAAGUCGAACGAAACUUCUUUAUCACCGAGUGCUUGCACUCACCGAUAAGGAGUUGAGUGGCGAACGGGUGAGUAACACGUGGGCAACCUGCCCAAAAGAGGGGGAUAACACUUGGAAACAGGUGCUAAUACCGCAUAACCAUAGUUACCGCAUGGUAACUAUGUAAAAGGUGGCUAUACUACCGCUUUUGGAUGGGCCCGCGGCGCAUUAGCUAGUUGGUAGGGUAAAGGCUUACCAAGGCAAUGAUGCGUAGCCGAAUUGAGAGGUUGACCGGCCACAUUGGGACUGAGACACGGCCCAAACUCCUACGGGAGGCAGCAGUAGGGAAUCUUCCACAAUGGGCGAAAGCCUGAUGGAGCAACGCCGCGUGGGUGAAGAAGGUCUUCGGAUCGUAAAACCCUGUUGUUAGAGAAGAAAGUGCGUGAGAGUAACUGUUCACGUUUCGACGGUAUCUAACCAGAAAGCCACGGCUAACUACGUG